UACGUAGGGGGCUAGCGUUGUCCGGAUUUACUGGGUGUAAAGGGCGCGCAGGCGGAUUAGUAAGUCAGAGGUGAAAUCCUACGGCCUAACCGUAGAACUGCCUUUGAAACUAUUAAUCUUGAGUGCGGAAGAGAGAGACGGAAUUCCAGGUGUAGUGGUGAAAUACGUAGAUAUCUGGAAGAACACCAGUUGCGAAGGCGGUCUCUUGGUCCGAUACUGACGCUCAGGCGCGAAAGCGUGGGUAGCAAACAGG
rnacentral:rRNA from 1 species